rnacentral:lncRNA from 1 species
CCUUCAUUAUUUCUGUUCUAUUUUCGAGAGGGUUUAGAAGAGAAAUUGAGAAGCAGAUUUUUUUCGCAAAUCAAACAUCAUAAACACAAAUAUUAAUGUACUUACGGUGAAAAAACAGAAUUUAAAUUAUUUUACUAGGGCAUGUCAAUACCCCAUAGAGAUCUUUAAGGCAUUUUCUAAAGUGUUUUAAAUGUAUUUUUACACAAACCAAAAAAAUUCUGUUUUGUUCUUUGACUUCUAUUACUGUGUAGCACCGACUUAAUAUUGUGUAUAACACCACCAAUAAUUUCUAAAGCAUUUCUGAAAAUUUUUCUGUCAGAAAAAUGGCAGUUUCACAUAACUCAUUUUACUUGCCAAUGCAGAAAUGGUUAGAAAAACCUUAUGAAUAUUUUACAGUCAUUUUCAACUCAUGCUUACAUAUUACUUCUUAAAUAAUGAAACACUUCCUUCCAAAGCCAAGGGGGAAAAAAAAACCUCUUCAUUGUUUC